rfam:Blautia sp. CAG:52 genomic scaffold, scf293
AAUUUAGGUAGAGGUUGCAUUUUUUAUCAGUAAUUUGUCGGAUGUUUCAGGAACAGAAGAAGGCAAAGGAAAGGAAAAAGUGCCGAAGGGGCGAAGAAACCUGAAGCUUGGUUCUUGGGCAUGUCUGUGAAGAACGGCAUGACUGUCAUCGAAAGAUGGAGUGCUAUCCAAAGA